CUAUUAUUUUUUAAUGUCAAAGUUAAUUAUAUUUACCUAAGUAUUAUGAAAUUAAUUAAUUUAAUUAAUUAUUGUUAAUGUGUUUAAAACUUAAAAGGUUUGGCGGUUUUACAUAUCCAGUUAGGGGAGUUUGUUAAAAUAAUUUGAUAAUCCACAUUUUAGACUUACUUUUUUUUGAUAUUUUAUUAUAACAGUUUAUAUAUUGCUGUCAUCAGUUUAUAUUUUAAGAGGAAAAGAACUUUAUAAUUUUUUAAUUAGUAUGUCAAGUCAUAAUGUAGCUAAUAAGAAAGAUUUAAUGGACUACUAUAAUUAAUUUUAUUUAAAUAAUUAUCCGGAUAAUAAAUAUUAUGUUUAUUAGUAAGGUGGACUUAAUAGUAAAUUUAAUAAUUAGUAUGUAUAGUUGAAUGUGGUUUUGUAAGGUGU
rnacentral:rRNA from 1 species